rnacentral:tRNA from 1 species
UGGUUAUGUGGUGAUGGCCGCCUGCUCGACACGCAGGAGGUCGUAGGUUCAAGUCCUAUACCGCCCA